rnacentral:rRNA from 1 species
GACGAACGCUGGCGGCGUGCUUAACACAUGCAAGUCGAACGGUAAGGCCCUUCGGGGUACACGAGUGGCGAACGGGUGAGUAACACGUGGGUGAUCUGCCCUGCACUUCGGGAUAAGCCUGGGAAACUGGGUCUAAUACCGGAUAGGACUCCGGACUGCAUGGUCUGGGGUGGAAAGCUUUUGCGGGGUGGGAUGGGCCCGCGGCCUAUCAGCUUGUUGGUGGGGUGAUGGCCUACCAAGGCGACGACGGGUAGCCGGCCUGAGAGGGUGACCGGCCAGACUGGGACUGAGAUACGGCCCAGACUCCUACGGGAGGCAGCAGUGGGGAAUAUUGCACAAUGGGCGCAAGCCUGAUGCAACGACGCCGCGUGAGGGAUGACGGCCUUCGGGCUGUAAACCUCUUUCAGCAUCGACGAAGCGAAAGUGACGGUAGGUGCAGAAGAAGGACCGGCCAACUACGUGCCAGCAGCCGCGGUAA